rnacentral:rRNA from 1 species
AGUGAACGCUGGCGGUAGGCCUAACACAUGCAAGUCGAACGGCAGCACAGUAAGAGCUUGCUCUUACGGGUGGCGAGUGGCGGACGGGUGAGGAAUACAUCGGAAUCUACUUUUUCGUGGGGGAUAACGUAGGGAAACUUACGCUAAUACCGCAUACGACCUACGGGUGAAAGCAGGGGAUCUUCGGACCUUGCGCGAUUGAAUGAGCCGAUGUCGGAUUAGCUAGUUGGCGGGGUAAAGGCCCACCAAGGCAACGAUCCGUAGCUGCUCUGAGAGGAUGAUCGGCCACAUUGGAACUGAGACACGGUCCAGACUCCUACGGGAGGCCGCAGUGGGGAAUGGUCCGCAAUGGGAGAAAGUCUGACGGAGCAACGCCGCGUGAGUGAUGAAGGUCUUCGGAUCGUAAAACUCUGUUAUUAGGGAAGAACAUAUGUGUAAGUAACUGUGCACAUCUUGACGGUACCUAAUCAGAAAGCCACGGCUAACUACGUG